rnacentral:tRNA from 1 species
GCCCAGAUGGCGGAACUGGUAGACGCGUUGGUCUCAAACACCAAUGAUAGUAAUAUUGUGUCGGUUCGAUCCCGACUUUGGGCA